rnacentral:rRNA from 1 species
CUGGCUCAGGACGAACGCUGGCGGCGUGCUUAACACAUGCAAGUCGAACGAUGAAGCCUCUUCGGGGGUGGAUUAGUGGCGAACG